GAGAACCAAAUCCUGUGGGAGGUAGAUGGAGGCUAUGCGACUGCACAACUCUAUUCUCUCAAGCAAAGGAGACCUGGACAAAAGCGGAGCUGCUCAGGCGGGAAGUGUAACCUGCAGUUUCCCGUGGGUCCAGCCCUGACCAUGAACGAAAAUAGCCACAGCGGGGGAUGCACAGAAAGGCGGAAGUGAAGCCGCAGAGAAAGCCAGCCAGGAACUGCAGCACGCAGGCCGGCCUCAGGAGGGUACUCACGGGGCACUGAGGGUGCCCCAAUUAAAUGCCUUUUCUCUCCCUCUCCUUUCCCACCCUAAUUACUCAAUAGUUCUCCUUCCACAGAAAAUCCUGUUGCUUACUGUGCUAAAUCAGGUUAAAGAUCAAUUUUCCCAGGUUUA